AUUGAACGCUGGCGGCAGGCCUAACACAUGCAAGUCGAGCGGAGCGGCGGACGGGUGAGGAAUGCCUAGGAAUCUGCCUGGUAGUGGGGGAUAACGUCCGGAAACGGGCGCUAAUACCGCAUACUAUCAGAUGAGACUAGGUCGGAUUAGCUAGUUGGUGGGGUAAAGGCCUACCAAGGCGACGAUCCGUAACUGGUCUGAGAGGAUGAUCAGUCACACGUGAACUGAGACACGGUCCCGACUCCUACGGGAGGCAGCAGUGGGGAAUAUUGGACAAUGGGCGAAAGCCUGAUCCAGCCAUUCCGCGUGUGGGAAUAAGGUCUUCGGAUUGUAAAGCACUUUAUGUUGUGAGGCGUUACCAACAGAAUAAGCACCGGCUAACUUCGUGCCAGCAGCCGCGGUAAUUC
rnacentral:rRNA from 1 species